rnacentral:tRNA from 2 species
GAGAAUGUGGUGUAAUGGUAGCACGCUACGCUUGGGACGUAGAGGCGGCGUUCGAAUCGCACAUUUUCG